AACUGCAGGAAUUGUACAGUUUCCAGAAAAUGGUGGUAGUGAAGCAUUUGUGGGAUCCAUAAAGUCACCAUAAAUUCCUAACUGAAUAUGGAUUCACUCUCCAACUCUAAAACCACAAGAUUUAUUUCCUGCUGGCAGGGGAGGUGAAGUUCUCGGAGCUGGAUCUGCCUGGAGCAUGCCAGCAGGUGGGGGAAGCACCAAUCUGCUCCCAAACCUUCAGUAUUCCCAACACCACCUUGACUGGCCACGUCCUUUCAAGAUGAGAAGACAGGACUGGGGUUUGGUUCUGUUGGAAAAUCUGUCUGUGCUCUCAGAACUUACAUGGGAAGUUUGUUAAUGCUCAACAUGUGCUAUUGGGAAAGAGGAUGAGGUAGUAGGACACCACUGGUUUCAUUCAGGAAGAUCAAGUUUUGGCACAAGAGCUUACUUUGAAGUCACAAAAGCCCUGUUUGCACAUGGGCAUGCUUGAAGGUUCUUUCUUUGUUGUUUGGUAUAAACCUGAGCAGUGGACAAGGACACACAAGGACAUGGAGUGACAGGACAAGGGGGAAUGGCCUCCAGCUGAUGGAGGGCAGGGUUAGAUGGGAUAUUAGGAACAAAUAGGAGAUUGGAAAUUUCAUGCUCUCAGGAGGGGAUAUUGCUGUGGAAAGUGGAGGCUUUCCUUGGUGCUUUUUCCCCCUCUCUGCACAUUCCCACUGGGCCUUGGUUCCAGUUAAUUUCUGACUCCUCUUCCAACUGUGCUGUGCUUCCACUACAGAAGGUUGGGGGAGAUGGAAGGAUCCAAUUACAUCCAUCCAAAACCAUCACUGUCC